CAGUAGCCGCGGUAAUACGUAGGUGGCAAGCGUUGUCCGGAAUUAUUGGGCGUAAAGGGCUCGCAGGCGGUUUCUUAAGUCUGAUGUGAAAGCCCCCGGCUCAACCGGGGAGGGUCAUUGGAAACUGGGAAACUUGAGUGCAGAAGAGGAGAGUGGAAUUCCACGUGUAGCGGUGAAAUGCGUAGAGAUGUGGAGGAACACCAGUGGCGAAGGCGACUCUCUGGUCUGUAACUGACGCUGUGGAGCGAAAGCGUGGGGAGCGAACAGGAUUAGAUACCCCCGUAGUCCCUGUCUCUUAUAC
rnacentral:rRNA from 1 species